rnacentral:misc_RNA from 1 species
CUCCUCUGUGGACGCUGCAGUGGAGAAUUUUGGUUUAAGGACUCGUCCUGCUUUGGACUCUCCCUCUAUGCUUCUCUAAUAUUGCUGCGAGUCCAUGUUGCAUUCCUUGGAGCCUAUAGUCCUGUACGGCUGCUAGAGCCUCCUGGCUCCUUUGUUUCCAAGGAAGCAUCUUCAAGGGUGUCAGCACCCACUAUCACGCCAAGGAUUAGGAGCACCCCUGAGACUUGUGAUGGACAAUUAAAGGGGUACUCGAUGUUAGCACUAAGCUUGACAAUGGCGAGUGUUGAUGCGUGUGGGUAUGCGUUGUGUGUGUC